CGGUAUAACGACCGUCGUGUCCAUGACGGGAAGCAUCAAGAAGCAUCGUGAAGCAUCAAGAAGCAUCGUGAAGCAUCAAGAAGCAUCGUGAAGCAUCAAGAAGCAUCGUGAAGCAUCGAGAAUCAUCGAACGGGGAAAAUCGUACUCUCGGUUGAGUAUUUCGGAGAGCCGUAACCCAUCACCGACGAUACAGGUGUCCUUGGACCGCUCGAGGUAAUAAUGCCGGUAUAACCGAACAACUGUUCGAUGACCCAGGUGGUAGAAGAAUUGUAUAGGAUGACACCGAUACUCCAAAUACGGUCGACGACCAACAGAGUCAUUGUUCACGCUGUAACCGAUACCCUCAGCUUCCGAGAACGGUUCGAUCUUCUCUACCUGUACUUACUUCUGUCCGCGUAAUUACCUGGCCUUUGCCCGCAUCUUCGUCUUUGUAUCUCGACGCGCCCACGUGAUGCUCGGCAUUCUUCUUUUCACGCUAUUCGUUCGUCGAUUCGCCUCGUACGUUUUUGGCAAACGACAACGUGGAAAGACACAGCGGUCGAAACUGCAGGGGAACGCGCGCAAACAAUCGUCUUUAUCGUCGUAACUAUGAAACGAGAUAUUGUUUCAGAUUCUGUCAUUAACCGUAACUCGUCUCUGCUCAAACGUUUUUUCGGAAUAUCGGAAAUCGAUGCAGGAUUUAAUAACAAUCAUAAUGGGACAGUCUUUUCGUCUAGCGAAACGAUUUCCUGCGGACGAUCGAUGGUGAUUACGUUGCUUUGUUUUCGUACUUGCUUCUUCUCGGGAUUGUUCCACGGUUGUAACUGACCGCUACCGAAAAUGGUAAACGUGAGUGCGCCAAGACAAUAAAUCCACCCUAAUAUCCAAAAAACGAUACUCCAUCCUGAAUAGGUCUGAUUUUUGUAGGUUAACGAGCCGACCAUGUAA